rnacentral:rRNA from 1 species
CUGAAUACAUAGGGUAAUGAGGCGAACCGGGGGAACUGAAACAUCUAAGUACCCCGAGGAAAAGAAAUCAACCGAGAUUCCGAAAGUAGCGGCGAGCGAAAUUGGACUAGCCCUUAAGCCUUUAAUGCGUCAGGUGAAAGUUCUGGAAAGUUCUGCGAUACAGGGUGAUAGCCCCGUAACCGACAGCGCAUUUUAGGUGAAAUCGAGUAGGGCGGGACACGUGAUAUCCUGUCUGAAUAUGGGGGGACCAUCCUCCAAGGCUAAAUACUACUGACUGACCGAUAGUGAACCAGUACCGUGAGGGAAAGGCGAAAAGAACCCCUGUGAGGGGAGUGAAAUAGAACCUGAAACCGUGUACGUACAAGCAGUAGGAGCACCUUCGUGGUGUGACUGCGUACCUUUUGUAUAAUGGGUCAGCGACUUAUAUUCAGUAGCAAGGUUAACCAUCUAGGGGAGCCGUAGAGAAAUCGAGUCUUAACUGGGCGUCGAGUUGCUGGAUAUAGACCCGAAACCAGGUGAUCUAGCCAUGGGCAGGUUGAAGGUUGAGUAACAUCAACUGGAGGACCGAACCGACUAAUGUUGAAAAAUUAGCGGAUGACUUGUGGCUAGGGGUGAAAGGCCAAUCAAACCUGGAGAUAGCUGGUUCUCCCCGAAAUCUAUUUAGGUAGAGCCUCGGACGAAUACUACUGGGGGUAGAGCACUGUUAAGGCUAGGGGGUCAUCCCGACUUACCAACCCUUUGCAAACUCCGAAUACCAGUAAGUACUAUCCGGGAGACACACGGCGGGUGCUAACGUCCGUCGUGGAGAGGGAAACAACCCAGACCGCCAGCUAAGGUCCCAAAUUACAGCUAAGUGGGAAACGAUGUGGGAAGGCUUAGACAGCUAGGAUGUUGGCUUAGAAGCAGCCAUCAUUUAAAGAAAGCGUAAUAGCUCACUAGUCGAGUCGGCCUGCGCGGAAGAUGUAACGGGGCUAAGCUGUAAACCGAAGCUGCGGCAAUGCAAGGCUAGGUGGGCCUGGCGACGGUUGUCCAGGUUCAAGUGCGUAGGCUUGAGAGUUAGGUAAAUCCGGCUCUCUCUAAGGCUGAGACACGACGUCGAGCUGCUACGGCAGUGAAGUCAUUGAUGCCAUGCUUCCAGGAAAAGCCUCUAAGCUUCAGAUUGUAAGGAAUCGUACCCCAAACCGACACAGGUGGUCGGGUAGAGAAUACCAAGGCGCUUGAGAGAACUCGGGUGAAGGAACUAGGCAAAAUGGUACCGUAACUUCGGGAGAAGGUACGCUCCUGUCGGUGAAGUCCCUUGCGGAUGGAGCUAACGGGAGUCGCAGAUACCAGGUGGCUGCAACUGUUUAUUAAAAACACAGCACUGUGCAAAAUCGUAAGAUGACGUAUACGGUGUGACGCCUGCCCGGUGCCGGAAGGUUAAUUGAUGGGGUUAGACGUAAGUCGAAGCUCUUGAUCGAAGCCCCGGUAAACGGCGGCCGUAACUAUAACGGUCCUAAGGUAGCGAAAUUCCUUGUCGGGUAAGUUCCGACCUGCACGAAUGGCGUAAUGAUGGCCACGCUGUCUCCACCCGAGACUCAGUGAAAUUGAAAUCGCUGUGAAGAUGCAGUGUACCCGCGGCUAGACGGAAAGACCCCGUGAACCUUUACUACAGCUUGGCACUGAACAUUGACCCUACAUGUGUAGGAUAGGUGGGAGGCUUUGAAACCGGUACGCCAGUAUCGGUGGAGCCGUCCUUGAAAUACCACCCUUGUAGUGUUGAUGUUCUAACUUAGACCCGUCAUCCGGGUUGAGGACAGUGCCUGGUGGGUAGUUUGACUGGGGCGGUCUCCUCCCAAAGAGUAACGGAGGAGCACGAAGGUGGGCUAAUCACGGUUGGACAUCGUGAGGUUAGUGCAAUGGCAUAAGCCCGCUUGACUGCGAGAAUGACAAUUCGAGCAGGUGCGAAAGCAGGUCAUAGUGAUCCGGUGGUUCUGUAUGGAAGGGCCAUCGCUCAACGGAUAAAAGGUACUCCGGGGAUAACAGGCUGAUACCGCCCAAGAGUUCAUAUCGACGGCGGUGUUUGGCACCUCGAUGUCGGCUCAUCACAUCCUGGGGCUGAAGUCGGUCCCAAGGGUAUGGCUGUUCGCCAUUUAAAGUGGUACGCGAGCUGGGUUUAGAACGUCGUGAGACAGUUCGGUCCCUAUCUGCCGUGGGCGUUGGAAGAUUGAAGGGGGCUGCUCCUAGUACGAGAGGACCGGAGUGGACGAACCUCUGGUGUUCGGGUUGUCAUGCCAAUGGCAUUGCCCGGUAGCUAAGUUCGGAAUCGAUAACCGCUGAAAGCAUCUAAGCGGGAAGCGAGCCCUGAGAUGAGUCUUCCCUGACCCCUUGAGGGUCCUAAAGGGUUGUUCGAGACUAGAACGUUGAUAGGCAGGGUGUGUAAGCGUUGUGAGGCGUUGAGCUAACCUGUACUAAUUGCCCGUGAGGCUUAACCAUACAACACCCAAAGGGUUUUG